rnacentral:rRNA from 1 species
AUUGAACGCUGGCGGAAUGCUUUACACAUGCAAGUCGAACGGCAGCAUAGGUGCUUUCACCUGAUGGCGAGUGGCGAACGGGUGAGUAAUACAUUGGAACGUGCCCCGUUGUGGGGGAUAACGUAGCGAAAGUCACGCUAAUACCGCAUUCGAUCUUCGGAUGAAAGCGGGGGACCGUAAGGCCUCGCGCGAUUGGAGCGGCCGAUGUUAGAUUAGGUAGUUGGUGGGGUAAAGGCUCACCAAGCCGACGAUCUAUAGCUGGUUUGAGAGGAUGAUCAGCCCCACUGGGAAUGAGACACGGCCCAGAAUCCUACGGGAGGCAGCAGUGGGGAAUUUUGGACAAUGGGGGCAAGCCUGAUCCAGCCCUUUCGCGUGCAGGGCGAAGGCCUUUGGGUUGUAAACUGCUUUUGUACAGAAAGAAAAGCCCCGGGUUAAUACCCUAGGGUCAUGUCGAAAGGGUAAGAAUAAGCACCGGCUAACUACGUGCC